AUUGAACGCUGGCGGCAGGCCUAACACAUGCAAGUCGAACGAGUGGCGGAGGGGUGAGUAAUGUCUGGGAAACUGCCCGAUGGAGGGGUAUAACUACUGGAAACGAUAGCUAAUCCCGCAAUCCAUCGGAUAUGCCCAGAUGGGAUUAGCUAGUAGGUGGGGUAAUGGCUCACCUAGGCGACGAUCCCGAGCUGGUCUGAGAGGAUGACCAGCCACACUGGAACUGAGACACGGUCCAGACUCCUACGGGAGGCAGCAGUGGGGAAUAUUGCACAAUGGGCGCAAGCCUGAUACAGCCAUGCCGCGUGUAUGAAGAAGGCCUUCGGGUUGUAAAGUACUUUCAGCGAGGAGGCGUUACCCGCAGAAGAAGCACCGGCUAACUCCGUGCCAGCAGCCGCGGUAAUUC
rnacentral:rRNA from 1 species